GGAGGCAUACCCAAGAGGCCGAAGGGGACGGUUUGCUAAACCGUUAGUGGUCGUAAGGCCAGCGAGAGUUCAAAUCUCUCUGCCUCCGCCA
rnacentral:tRNA from 1 species